rnacentral:rRNA from 1 species
CCUACGGGUGGCAGCAGUAGGGAAUUUUUCACAAUGGGCGAAAGCCUGAUGGAGCAAUGCCGCGUGAGUGAUGAAGGUCUUAUAGAUUGUAAAAUUCUUUUAUUUGGGAAGAAAAACUAAGGUAGGAAAUGACUUUAGUCUGACUGUACCAUUUGAAUAAGUAUCGGCUAACUAUGUGCCAGCAGCCGCGGUAAUACAUAGGUUGCAAGCGUUAUCCGAAUUUAUUGGGCGAAAAACGAGCGCAGGCGGGUUAACAAGUUUGGGAGGAAUGGCUUUUGCUAAACGAAGGUUUGUAUCAAAAACUGUUAGGCUAGAGUGUAGUAGAGAGUUCUGGAAUUCCAGGUGGAGCGGUGAAAUGCGUAGAUAUAUGGAAGAACACCAGUGGCGAAGGCGGGAACUUAGGCAAUCACUGACGCUUAGGCUCGAAAGUGUGGGGAGCAAAUAGGAUUAGAUACCCCAGUAGUC